CCGCCGGUGGUAGACAAAGUGAAAAGCAGAAUUGCAGUUCACAGAAGAGAAGUUCAAAGAAUUUCUUUACCGAAAGAAGGGAAUUGCUUUCCUCUUUCCCGACCUUGCUUUCACUAGUUAAACUACCGCAGGUUCUAGAUCGAUUUGAUCAACUACAAUUGGGAUGAGAGGAACAUAAGGGUGUAACACAAUCCGCUUCGUAACUGGAAGGCCGGAUCGAAACAUUCACUUACUCAUACCCGCUAUUACUCCUAAUUGAGCUCCUACUCUUAUAACAAUAUCCGGUGCGUCAAUGAAAUCAUCUCUAAAGCAAAUGGUGGAAGUGUUGACCGAUUCAAACUGAUGAAAUUGGUCGAUUUAGCACUCAACUAACUCCCAUCUUAUUUAGUCUUCUCCUAUUUCUAAGUAAACCCCGCCCCUAUAUGCCCUGGGUAGACAUGUGAAGGUAGACUUUGACCGAUCUUGGUUUGUGUUUGGGCGUGCUAGGAAGGCUAAGGCUAGAAAAAGAGUACAUCUAGAUCAGUCAAGUCAUCACUUAUUUGAUUGUUGAUUCCAUUCCUUAUGUGCCCUAUCUAUUGUUCAUGCCUUCUUUACAUGUUGGGUGGAUUAGAUCCCCUUUCAACUCUCAUUAUGGGAAGGAUGUCUUCCUUCAAGUUCUAGCUCUUUCGAACCCAGGAUCAGGCUAGUAUGGCUUGGCAUCGUCUGGGUUUCAGGCUCAGAUGGUGUAGGGGUUAACCUCCCUAGCACAGGAUUGUCUGAUUCUGUGUCCUUAAGGCAAGACAUUGGUAGAAGCAGCUUAUCCAAUUUUAGGGUGUGAUAAGUUAUUAUUAUCCCAAGCAUCCUUGCUGGACAACCAC
rnacentral:lncRNA from 1 species